rnacentral:rRNA from 1 species
GAUGAACGCUGGCGGCGUGCCUAAUACAUGCAAGUCGAGCGAACAGACGAGGAGCUUGCUCCUCUGACGUUAGCGGCGGACGGGUCAGUAACACGUGGAUAACCUACCUAUAAGACUGGGAUAACUUCGGGAAACCGGAGCUAAUACCGGAUAAUAUAUUGAACCGCAUGGUUCAAUAGUGAAAGACGGUUUUGCUGUCACUUAUAGAUGGAUCCGCGCCGCAUUAGCUAGUUGGUAAGGUAACGGCUUACCAAGGCAACGAUGCGUAGCCGACCUGAGAGGGUGAUCGGCCACACUGGAACUGAGACACGGUCCAGACUCCUACGGGAGGCAGCAGUAGGGAAUCUUCCGCAAAGGGCGAAAGCCUGACGGAGCAACGCCGCGUGAGUGAUGAAGGUCUUCGGAUCGUAAAACUCUGUUAUUAGGGAAGAACAAAUGUGUAAGUAACUAUGCACGUCUUGACGGUACCUAAUCAGAAAGCCACGGCUAACUACGUG